AACGCGAAGAACCUUACCUGGGCUCGAACGACUGGUAGUAGCUUGUAUGAAAGUAUAAGCGACCCGCAAGGGAGCCAGCCGAGGUGCUGCAUGGUUGUCGUCAGCUCGUGUCGUGAGAUGUUGGGUUAAGUCCCGCAACGAGCGCAACCCCUAUCCUGUGUUGCUACCCGCAAGGGAGGACUCUCAGGAGACUGCCGCGGAUAACGUGGAGGAAGGUGGGGCCGACGUCAAAUCAUCAUGGCCUUUAUGUCCAGGGCCACACACGUGCUACAAUGGCGCGUACAACGGGAUGCAAAGCCGCAAGGUGGAGCCAAUCCCUCAAAGCGCGCCUCAGUUCAGAUUGUGGGCUGCAAUUCGCCCACAUGAAGGCGGAAUCGCUAGUAAUCGCAGAUCAGCAGGCUGCGGUGAAUACGUUCCCGGGCCUUGUA
rnacentral:rRNA from 1 species